rnacentral:lncRNA from 1 species
GUUUGAAGGAGGAGCACAUGAUAUAAUUUAUGUUUGAAAUUCAAAAGGUAUAUAGAAUUUGAGAAUUAUCGUAGAGAAUUAUCGUAGACAUAUUUUCUAACAUUUUUUUUUACAAUUUAUUUCUUUACAAGUGAUAAGUGAUGCCAAGAAAAUUAUGUGUAGAUCAUUAGUGAAAGGUUCAUGUAUCUAAAUCUUAAACUCAUUUUUGGCUAUGAAGUUAGUUAGAUCUUUCACCACUCUAUGUUUUAACAAAUACAAAGGCGUAAACUAAAUGGUUUUCAAGUUACCAUUAAACAAGUUUUGUAUUUG